ensembl:lncRNA
GCUUUCUCUCAAAGAGCUGGAAGCAGAUUUACUAAAAUAGAUUAAGCAUCAAAAGAAUAUGAUUAGUGUUUCAAGGCUUUCUCUCAAAGAGCUGGAAGCAGAUUUAUUAAAUGGAUUAAGCAUCAAAAGAAUAUGAUUAGUGUUUAAAGGCUUUCUCUCAAAGAGCUGUAAGCAGAUUUACUAAAAUAGAUUAAGUAUCAAUAGAGUACGAGUAGUGUUUAAAGGCUUUCUCUCAAAGAGCUGGAAGCAGAUUUACUAAAAUAGAUUAAGCAUCAGAAGAGUAUGAUUAGUGUUUAAAGGCUUUCUCUCAAAGAGCUGGAAGCAGAUUUAUUAAAUGGAUUAAGCAUCAAAAGAAUAUGAUUAGUGUUUAAAGGCUUUCUCUCAAAGAGCUGUAAGCAGAUUUACUAAAAUAGAUUAAGUAUCAAUAGAGUACGAGUAGUGUUUAAAGGCUUUCUCUCAAAGAGCUGGAAGCAGAUUUACUAAAAUAGAUUAAGCAUCAAAAGAGUAUGAUUAGUGUUUAAAGGCUUUCUCUCAAAGAGCUGGAAGCAGUGAGUGAGCUUUUGCCUCCUCAACUGUCCCUUUUUAUAGUAUAGGGGGCGGGACUCUGUUUGAAUGGGCCAAUAGGAGGCUCUCUGUUUGAAUGGGCCAAUAGGAGGCUCUCCCAUGUUUUUGUGGUUGUUUUAAUCAUCUGUAGUGGGGCUUUUUUCAUUGUUUUAUUUUGAUUUUAAACUAAUGGUAUUAUUCAUUUAUUAAAUUACUGUUUCCCACUUGUGUACUGUGGGUUUUCCAUUAUUUAUUUAUUUAUUUAUUUCUCCAUUUAGGUUUGAAUUGUUUUAAUCUCUUUUUUAAUUCUUUUUUCUUUUUCUUUCAAGGCAUUCUGGGGUGGCAUAGGUAUGCCUUUGCCCGUGUUUGUCCUUAUUGGGAGUUGUGAUUAAUCAAAGGAUGAUUCUUAUGAACAGGCCGACCAGAAGGGAAACGAACAGUAGAGCGAAUUGCAAACAUGAGGCACGGGCCGAUUAGGGUUGGGGUUAGGGGCCAGGGUAGGCGCUAACCUGUAUGCACUGUCCAUCUAAUGUCGCUCACUCCACUGGGUUUCACCCCCAUGUCAGCCGGUCCAUUCCCACCAUUCUUUUUCUCUUUUGUUUUUUU